rnacentral:rRNA from 1 species
CAGCCGCCACGGGAAUACAGAGGGUGCGAGCGUUAAUCGGAUUUACUGGGCGUAAAGCGUGCGUAGGCGGCUUUUUAAGUCGGAUGUGAAAUCCCUGAGCUUAACUUAGGAAUUGCAUUCGAUACUGGGAAGCUAGAGUAUGGGAGAGGAUGGUAGAAUUCCAGGUGUAGCGGUGAAAUGCGUAGAGAUCUGGAGGAAUACCGAUGGCGAAGGCAGCCAUCUGGCCUAAUACUGACGCUGAGGUACGAAAGCAUGGGGAGCAAACAGGAUUAGAUACCCCUGUAGUCCAUGUCUCUUAUAC